UAAUAAUGAUUUAUGUCAUGUUGAUGUCUGUCAAUUGUAUAUAUUUUCCCAUUAUCCUAAGAACUGAUGCAGGGUCGUUUUGCUCAACGGUGAAAAUGUUAUACAGGUAUUAAGAACUGAUCCCACAUCAGCUGAAGUGGACCGAAUCUAUCCAAUAUGGCCGUGGUUAAAACGCAUCUCUCGAUAUCGGGUGCAGAUUUGACAGAAAAUACUUUCGUUAUGAUGGAUUUGUGAAGGGCUGUCAUUUUACCGAGUUUACGGGUAUCUUUACUUUUACUCAAGUAUGGAAAUUGGGUACUUUUUCCACUACUGACAGUAUGAAACGUGAGUGACAAAGUGGUCCAGCUCUCCUCAGCCUUCCCACCAUGAGGACAUGCUUCAGUCAAUUCACCAGCUGAGACUGCACAGCCACCUGUGUGAUGUCACAGUCCAGGUGGCCUUCCAUGGUGAGCUUGAGGAGUUUGAGGCUCAACAGGUGGUACUAGCUGCCUCCAGCGGCUACUUCAAGAACAUCCUACUGGCCCCGGACCCACCUAAGAAACUAUUCCUGGGGAACGUCUGAAACACUGAUUUCACCAGGUUCUUGGAAUAUAUAUACACUGGCAAACUGGAGGUGGAUGAAGAGUUUGCUGAAGACAAGAUUGGCGUGAUCUGUGAAGUGGCGACACUGUUGGAGUGUAAAAGCCUUAUGGAGGCUUGCAGCUCGGUUCUCGAUGAAGGCAGCUCGAGUCCGCACGGGGCUAAAUCAUCCGUGUGACAAGACAUGGAGGCUGAUUUGGAUGAUGUAGAGGAGGGAGUGCUGGGGGUCGGAGUAAACAAAAUUCCCUAAAGAGCCUCCACCAAGAGGCUGAUCUGUCAAACAAGACCAGAGAGGAGGGAGAGGAUGUUGAAAAGGGCAACGGUCACGGUCACAGCCGAGGAGGAGAGAUCAGAGGUGAAUGAAGAUGCUGAGAUCUCUGGGAGGAGAAGUAACAGGCUGGCAGGCCGCAGUCUUCGUUGACAUUCCUAAGAAGGGGUACGUGAGGAAGAUGAAGGACCAGACCAAGACGCAGACGGAGGAUCUGCCUGACAACACUCAGACCAAGACAGCCGGUCAAAAGGAGAACACUGAGAAUACACAGGAAGGAAGCGAUGGGUGAGGAAGGUGCCCUCAACAGAUCAUCCAGACAUGCUGACACCCAAAACAAGUGUGACAAGUGUCAAUGGACCUUCCACUAUGAGAAGAGCUACCGGAAGCACAUCAACUAGGACGAGCCACGGUGUGCAGGGGGAGGUGACAUACCGUUGUGACCUGAGGAUCCAUCAGAGACACGUCCACAGUGACGAGAGACUGUACCCCUGCGACGUCUGCACCAAGACGUUCAAACGCAAGAAGGACGUGACGCGCCUCCGACGACAAGUUAGGACCGGUCUCAGUCGGGGGAUUUGGGAUUGCUUUUGUAGCACUUUUAUGUGCAUGAGGGAGGCGGUGUGCACCUGUCUUGUGUGUAACAAGGCGCUGAGCUCUAAGACAGCGUUGACGCUACACGAGAGAACACACACAGGAGAGAAGCCCUGCUCCUGCACUGACUGUGAAGCCAAGUUUUCCCAGAGCUCAGCCCUCAAGACACACCACAGGACUAACAGGAGAGAAGCCUUUCGCCUGUGACCAGUGUGAUGCAAGGUUUAGCCAGAACCACAUGUUGUCUUAUCACAAGAGAGCCCACACAGGAGAGAAGCCUUUUAUGUGUGAGAGCUGUGGGAAAAGCUUUGCCUCUAAAGAAUACCUGAAACACCACUCCAGAAUCCACAUGGGCUUCAGACCUUACAAGUGAGCGUCCGUACCACUGUACAGAUUGUGAUAAGCAGUUCACCCAGCUGAAUGCCCUCCAGAGGCACCAGAGGAUUCAUACAGCGGAGAAGCCUUACAUGUGUGGCCUCCGCAACCGUACCUUCACGGACAAGUCCACUGUACGCAGACAGACCAUAACUCAUGACCAAAACACUCCAUGGAAGAACUACCUGGUGGUCCUGAAGGACAACAUGGAGGUAAAGACUAAGAAACCCAGAUGCCCUUUACAUUUUAGUCAUUUAGCAGACGCUCAUAUCCAGAGCGACUUACAGUAGUGAAUGCAUACGUUUCAUACAUUUCAUUUCAUGCAUUUUUUUUCUUUUUCUUU